AUUGAACGCUGGCGGCAGGCCUAACACAUGCACGUCGGGCGAGCGGCGGACGGGUGAGUAAUGUAUGGGGAUCUGCCUGAUGGCGGGGGCUAACUACUGGAAACGGUAGCUAAUACCGCAUACCAUCAGAUGACCCCAUAUGGGAUUAGAUAGUAGGUGAGGUAACGGCUUACCUAGGCGACGAUCCCUAGCUGGUCUGAGAGGAUGAUCAGCCACACUGGGACUGAGACACGGUCCAAACUCCUACGGGAGGCAGCAGUGAGGAGUAUUGGUCAAUCAGCGCUAGCCUGAACCAGCCAAGUAGCGUGAAGGAUGAAGUUCUAUGUGUCGUAAUCUUCUUUUAAAUAAGAAUGUAUUAUAUGAAUAAGGAUCGGCUAACUCCGUGCCAGCAGCCGCGGUAAUAC
rnacentral:rRNA from 1 species